UCGGAUCGGAUCGGAUCGGAGACGGGACGGGGAAUGGGUGGGCGGGCGGUUCGCUCUCAGGACACCGAGGUAAAAUCCCGGAGUCAGUGCGCGUCCACUUUUUUUUUCACGGACUUCUUGUUCUUUCACUGUUUCUGCUGGGUAUCUCGGGACUCGGGAAUUAAAAGGAGGCGCGCAGGUUCGGAUCCAUGAUAAAAUUAAAGAUGAAAGGCUUUAGUAAGUGGAAGAAAAGCUGAUUGAAAAAGCAUUUGAGAAAGAAAUAAUGAGCUCAAAUCCUACCGCCAAACGAGGAGACGGGGCACAGACCCCAAAAGUUCAACAGCCUCCAGCUAGACAACUGUAUGGUCAGUUUGGCCAGAGCAACCAGUCUGAGAGGAUGCUGACCAGCGACUCAUCGGCUCACAGUUUUCCAUCUCCAUCUCCUUUGCCACAGCAGCUGAACAAGCAGCACGUGGACGUGUGUAGUGACUGGGACAGCAUUGAAGGUUUGUACCAUCGGGAGCUGGAAGAGGUUCGAGCCAGAGCUGCGCAGAUGGAGAAGACCAUGCGCUGGUGGUCGGACUGCACUGCGAACUGGCGGGAGAAAUGGAGCAAGGUGAGGGCGGAGCGCAACAAGGCGCGUGAGGAAGUCCGCCAGAUGCGGCAGAAGCUGGAGUCAGUUGCGAAGGAGUUAGCUGCCAUGAAACGAGAAAAGCAGGAGCUGUUAGAGGAAAAUGAGCGGCUGAGAAGGGCGGCCAAGCCAACAGAAACACCGUCAGCGGCUCUGGUCAGACUGGAGGAGUACGAACUCAAUGCGCUGGAACAGGAACCCGUCAAAGAUGUUAAAAAUAAUAAAAACCCAUCAUCCCCAAACAAAUUCACUGGUUCACCCAAGAAGGAUAUUGAUAUAAUUGAGAAUAUACUAAGAGAGAAACAAGAUGGAGGAGGACAAAGUCUGGAGUCUUCAACCAUCUGCUCUGAAAGACCCAAGCAUCUGCUGGAAGAUACUCUGCAACCUUUUGAGGACGACUCCAUUAAAACCAUGGCUCUGCAGUUUCGUCUGGAUGAGUCACAGAAAAUCCUGCAGAAAGAAAGAGAGGACAAAGCUGCGCUUGGAAGGCAGAUUGAAAGACUAGAAGCUGAUUUAUCUCAGUGGAAGAUCAAAUACGAAGACGUGAGCAAAUCAAAGCAGGAGGUCCUUAAACAGUUGACCCUUCUCCGUGAUGCUCAUCAGAAUGAGCUCGGGCGAAUCUCGGAAGAUCUGGAGGAUGAAGUCGGAGCACGAUCAAACAUGGACAGGAAACUGGCUGAUCUUCGUGCUGAGUUGGAAAGACUUCAGGUCGAGAACACUGCGGAGUGGGGGAAGAGAGAGCGGCUGGAGACGGAGAAGCUGGGUUUGGAAAGGGACAACAAAAAAUUAAAAGCCCAUAUUGACGAGCUGGAGAAACUGCUGGCAAAGAGAAGUCAACAAACCACAAAUUUAAAUGAUUCGGACUUCAAAGCUAUGCAGAUUGAACUAUUUGAGAAAAAUAAGGAGCUGUCUGACCUUCGGCAUGCCCUCAAUAAACUGAAGAAGCAAUAUCAAGAGAAAAUGGCAGAACUUACUCAUUCCAAUAGGAGGGUAGAGCAGCAUGAAUCUGAGGUGAAGAAGUUAAGACUGCGUGUGGAAGAACUGAAGAAAGAGCUGGCACAAACAGAAGAUGAGUUGGAUGACUCACUGAACCAGAUCAGGAAACUGCAGCGUUCAUUGGAUGAACAGACAGAACUGAAUGACAAUCUUCAGGUCCAGUUUGACCACCUGCAGACCAGCUGGGACUUGCAUGUCUGACAGUAGUGAGAACCGAGAGGAAGCUACUGACAUGAUGAAGGAUGCCUGGACCACCAUCAGAGACGGAGGACCUUCAUUGUUGCCCUAAACGCCAGUGGCAUGAUGGGCAGAAAAUAAGUAAGGUGGGAAACCAGAACUGCAUCCAAUACACCAAAUUAGCCAUCAAUGACAUCUUAUAUGUAUUAUAUCUGUAUAUGAUUUUAAUAAGUUCAUAUCAUCAUUUUAUGAGGAAAGCAGCUUCACAAAAUUAACCACUCGAGGAUUAACUCCACCUUUGAUGGAAGAUCAUGCCAUUUUCUGUCAACUCCUUUCCAUUGUGCGGAAGGUACAGAAGCCUGAAGACCGAUAUCAUCUGGUUCAAGAUCAGCUAUUUCCCUCCAAGCACUUGAACUAAUCUGCACAACCAUGAUCGCUACCUCCAUAUAGUAACACUUUGACUACUUUGAACAGUUUACACUGCAAUAGACUUUGAUUUGUUUUUGUUCUAAUUGUGAUCUUUCUUGUGAAAAGUGUGUAUAAUUUAUGUUUUUCUUGUGUAUGUCGUCUAUCGGAUGUUAUAUGAAAUCUACAGUGAACUGUCAGGUCAGUAGAAAAUAUCACUGUCUCCAGUCUACCAUCACCACAGGACCUGUAUGUGUCCAGGACAAAGAAAAAUCAUUGGGGAUCCUACCCACCCAGCAAACUGCCUUUAUAAAAGUUCUAUUCUUCAAAGCACUAUAGAACUAUUAAAAAAAACUUCACGCCAUUUUAAAAGUUUCUUCCCCUGGGUAGUUAAUCUGAUCAAAUAUUUUAGUUUGUACUCCCCCCAGUCCCCUCUAUCUAUUACUCAAUGACGCUGUAGACACUUAACCACUUUUCGUAGUGCUGUUUACAAUGUAAAUACAUGCUAUUAUUUGUGUAUUUAUGUGCAUUUUAUUCCAUAUCCAUCCUUUAACCUCUGUUUAUUAGCUUUUUAUUAUUUAAAUAUUGUUGGCACCUGGCCUAGUGGAUAAGGCAUCGGUCUAGCGAUCUGAAGGUCACUGGUUUGAGCCUCAGCUGAGGCAGCGUGUUGUGUCCUUGAGCAAGGCACUUAACAACACAUUGCUCUGCGACGUCACUGGUGCCAAGCUGCAUGGGUCCUAGUGCCCUUCCCUUGGACAACAUCUGUAGCGUGGAGAGGGGAAGGCCUGCAGCUUGGGCAACUGCUGGUCUCCCAUACAACCCUGCCCAGGCCUGCACUCUGGAAACCUUCCAAGGCACAAAUCCAUGGUCUCACGAGACUAAUGGAUGCCUAUAAAAAAUUUAGAUAUAAUUCUUUAUUUAUUAUAUAAUUCUUUAUUCUUAUAAUUAUUGAAUAUUGUUUUUGUUGUACA